rnacentral:lncRNA from 1 species
AGUCGAAGAGGCUAAUUCUGGCCCUCUUAUAAAAAAAAGAAAGAAAAGCCUUGUUUUCUCUAGAUCAGAGAGAUGGCUUCUGGAUUCAUCUUUCCCUGCAAUCCAGCUUCUCCUCCUGGGGCCCUCAUACUGGAGACUGGGAUCAUCAUCCAGGCUUUUGCACUGGGCCAGGAAUUUGGGAGUCAUCCUGGAUCCGUCUGCCCCUGUCAACCUUUCGCUGUCAACGGAUAUUUAUUGGGCGUCCUCAACAGCCAGGCCCUGUUCAUGGUACUGAAGAACAGCUUGUAUAAAACAACCCUGCCCUCACAGGGCGAUCACCAGUGACCUGUGGUGUGGAGUCUCCUUUUACCUAUGUCUCCUCCUUCCCACUGUCACCAUCCUUGGUCCUCCUCUGUCACCUGGAAUACUCCACUUGGUAACCAGCAUGAUCUUAUAACGCUAGUUUUACCCUUGUCAGCACUUUGCCAAAAACCUCAAAUAAAGACUUUUUUUAAAAUGUGCAAUGGAAAAAUAAAGUUAUAAAUUAUA